UGAUUUAGUCCUUCCCUGCUAAAUCAACAGUGGCAUCUCUCUCAGCUCAGGGUUGUGUGCAGAUGAGCUGCAGCAGGUGGGCUGUGCAGAGACAGUGAGGAUUUGCCCUGCUGCAUUGAAACUCUUGGAAUAUCAAAGUCACCCCAAGAUACCUGAGCCAACACAUGCCUACCUUCUGAUCUCAGUGGAUCGAGGGUUUUCCUGCCAUGUACAUUUGCUGCCUGGACAGCAGGGAAAUGGAGCAGUCUUCCCUCUCUUAGAUACGAUGAAACAUGAUGAAAAAUCCUGCUGGCUGGAUUUGGACCCUCUGUUCAGGCUGUGACAGCCACGGUAUUCCACACUUGGUGCCACUGUGAUCGCCAGACUUCCAGCAUGAGUAAGAGAACUUGGUUAAUAGCAAUUGUAUGCACUUUAUUUUUCCCCUUUCAGAGGUUAUAUCUGGUUACUGUGUGACUGGAACAAUGAGACUAACCUCAGUUUUACUGUAACAAAGCAGCUAUGAGCUUUCUGGGUAAAGUAUAUUUUGACUGACAUACAAGUAGCUGUAGCUUUGCUGCACAAUGGAGAAAAUGACUUCAUUUAACAGCUUUCUGUGCCAAGAAAGAAAUAAAACAGUUCUGAG